rnacentral:rRNA from 1 species
GCAAGUCGAACGGUAACAGGAAUUAGCUUGCUAAUUUGCUGACGACCGGCGCACGGGUGCGUAACGCGUAUGCAACCUACCUUUAACUGGAGGAUAGCCCCGAGAAAUCGGGAUUAAUACUCCAUAGUAUUCCCAAGUGGCAUCACUCAGGAAUUAAAGCUCCGGCGGUUAAAGAUGGGCAUGCGUGACAUUAGUUUGUUGGUGAGGUAACGGCUCACCAAGACUGCGAUGUCUAGGGGUUCUGAGAGGAUGAUC